rnacentral:lncRNA from 1 species
GUUGGUUCUGCAUCCUGAGGAUAUAACAGAAGAGCCAAUGCGCUGACAGUAACUCUCACCUUCUGAGUUCUAAAAUUAACAUAGAAGCAAUAGCAAUAUUUCUUAGAGGUGAUACUGCUGAAGUCAAUAUAGAAUGAAAACUGCGUUUUCUUAAUUUGUUAUUUAAGCCCUCGGUUUCUUCAAAUGAGGAGUUGCUAUUAUUGUAAUGUUUACUUUUGAAUACAUAAACUGUGAAAUAAUGGCAAAAACACUUGAAAAGUAGCCAGAAGAUAAGAGGGAACCCUCUCUGUUGCCUACAUCCCUGAUUUAAAGAAAAGGCAUGCUUUAAGGCUGAUCUUACAACUCCAGUUAGAAAAAAGGAGAAAGAUUGUCAAUCUUCAGUAAUGUAUAAAGAUUUGAGAUGCUGGAUGCAUUUUCCUGGUUGAGUGCAUGAAGUCGUCUUUGUUUCGGGUUUCCUUGGCAACCCUUCUCAAAGUGUGUACAGGAAGAGCAGGACCUAAAUGGAGUCUGGUCUGAAGAGGGCCUUAAAGGGGGGUGGGGGCGUCUAAGUUCCCUAUUUUUAUUCCUUUAGAAGUGCGUGUGUGAGAUGAAGGAUGUGCAGGACAGAGAACACCAUUUUCCAUGGCAGGAUACCCACGUGAGAGCCAGACAACAGUGAGCUUUGAAAGCCGGCAUUGUUUUUCUGGCGCUGAGACAUCUACAGAGGCAUGGACUUCCUAGACGGCUCCUUUUAAAGGCCAUUUUCAUCUCCAAACCACCUCAGCAGCCCGAGAUGAGUAGGGAGCUGUCUGCCUGGGUAUCUCCUUUAAUUGUUACCGACACCUGUGGUUUCCACCGGACCUCAAAUUCAGACCUCUGCUCCCUGCCUAGACUGAAUGACUGCUCUGUCUCAGAGGCGCCCUGUGCUGCCUGGGACACUGCCUUACUUAAAAGGUUCUUCCUUCUUGGCUGGUGACUCCUGUUUUCUGCUCUUCUGCCAUCUUAUUCGCUGGACAAGCUGUGACUAAGAAAAGGCAAUUGAGUAUUUCUUCAGAACAAAACAGAGUACCAAGUAACUCUGCGAUCAAAAAUUUUAAAAAAAAAGCACUUUAAU